rnacentral:rRNA from 1 species
AGUGAACGCUGGCGGUAGGCCUAACACAUGCAAGUCGAACGGCAGCACAGAGGAGCUUGCUCCUUGGGUGGCGAGUGGCGGACGGGUGAGGAAUACAUCGGAAUCUACUCUGUCGUGGGGGAUAACGUAGGGAAACUUACGCUAAUACCGCAUACGACCUCCGGGUGAAAGCAGGGGACCUUCGGGCCUUGCGCGAUUGAAUGAGCCGAUGUCGGAUUAGCUAGUUGGUGGGGUAAAGGCCCACCAAGGCGACGAUCCGUAGCUGGUCUGAGAGGAUGAUCAGCCACACUGGAACUGAGACACGGUCCAGACUCCUACGGGAGGCAGCAGUGGGGAAUAUUGGACAAUGGGCGCAAGCCUGAUCCAGCCAUACCGCGUGGGUGAAGAAGGCCUUCGGGUUGUAAAGCCCUUUUGUUGGGAAAGAAAUCCAGCUGGCUAAUACCCGGUUGGGAUGACGGUACCCAAAGAAUAAGCACCGGCUAACUUCGUGCCAGCAGCCGCCGUAA